CUUUAAAAAAAAAUAAACUGGCAACAGUAUAAGAAGGUCGAAAUCUAAUUGAAGGCUAAAACCAUCAAAUUUGUAACCGAAAGAUGAAGGCCAUUAUCACCGCCGUUGUUGUUGUCGCCACCGUAUGCUACUUCAUCGUAGCCGCCACCGCUAAUCCCCUCCUUGGUGGCAUUGGGUGUAUUUGUGUGACCGCGCCAUGCCCAUGUUAAUAAUGAGAGCGCCAAUUCUGAGACCCAACUGUAUCAUACAAAAUUAUCUCCCUUUCAACUGCAAAUGAAAUAAAAAUACUUUUU